AUAAGAAGCGCCAAAACUGUAUAAAAAUAGACCCAGAUGAAAAUCGAAAUAAAGUUGCAGUGACCACUUGAUAACAGAGGAUUGAAGAUAUAUUUUGCAAAAAUGGAAGUUCUUUGCAGAUUACAGAUCCUGGGGUCCUACUGAGUCUUGGAGCAGGGGAAGGAUAAAAUUUUCCUUCUGAUUCAAAGAAUGCUUCUUGUGCUACAUUGUGUGGAUGUAACGGAGCCUCAUCAAUGGAAAGAACUGGAGCAACACAGGC